rnacentral:rRNA from 1 species
CGCAGCCGCGGUAAUUCCAGCUCCAAUAGCGUAUAUUAAAGUUGUUGCAGUUAAAAAGCUCGUAGUUGAAUUUCGGGGAUCAGUAGAUCGGUCGUGCCUAUGGUAUGUACUGGUCUAACUGAUUCCUCCUUCUUGACGAACUGUAAUGUCAUUAAUUUGGUGUUGCAGGGAAUCAGGACUGUUACUUUAGAAAAAAUUAGAGUGUUUAAAGCAGGCUAAAGCUUGAAUACAUUAGCAUGGAAUAAUGAAAUAGGACGUUUGAUCCUAUUUUGUUGGUUUCUAGGAUUGACGUAAUGAUUAAUAGGGAUAGGUUGGGGGCAUUAGUAUUCAAUUGUCAGAGGUGAAAUUCUUGGAUUUAUUGAAGACUAACUACUGCGAAAGCAUUUGCCAAGGAUGUUUUCAUUAAUCAAGAACGAAAGUUAGGGGAUCGAAGACGAUCAGAUACCGUCGUAGUCUUAACCAUAAACUAUGCCGACUAGGGAUCGGAUGAUGUUAAUUUUUUAAUGACUCAUUCGGCGUC